UACGGGGGGGGCAAGCGUUGUUCGGAAUUACUGGGCGUAAAGGGCUCGUAGGCGGCCAACUAAGUCAGACGUGAAAUCCCUCGGCUUAACCGGGGAACUGCGUCUGAUACUGGAUGGCUUGAAUCCGGGAGAGGGAUGCGGAAUUCCAGGUGUAGCGGUGAAAUGCGUAGAUAUCGGAAGGAACAUCAGUGGCGAAAGCGGCUUCCUGGACCAGCACCGACGUUCAGGCACGAAAGCGUGGGGAGCAAACAGG
rnacentral:rRNA from 1 species